rnacentral:lncRNA from 12 species
GGAACUGCGCCAGGUGUAGGGAAUUGCCCCAGGUGCAGCUGCAUCUUCACCUUUCUCAGGAGGGUCCCAAGCCAGGCAGGAAUCCCAAAAACCCCAGAGAGAGACCGUGCCCACCCUGCCCUUCCUCAGGAGACCUUGGAAAGGCUCCCAGGGAUCCCAAAAAAUCCUAAAAGACCCCAAAAUCCCAGCCCGGAACUGCGCCAGGUGUAGGGAAUUGCCCCAGGUGCAGCUGCAUCUUCACCUUUCUCAGCAGAGCACAGGAGGGUCCCAGACCAGGCAGGGAUCCCAAAAACCCCAGAGAGACCCAAUGUCCAUCCUGCCCUUCCUCAGGAGAUCCCAAAAAAGCUCCCAGGGAUCCCAAAAAAUCCUAAUAAAUAUCAAAAUCCCAGCCCGGAAUUGCCCCGGGUGUAACUGCUCCAGUCCAUUGUCAGCAGAGCACAGGAGGGUC